CCUACGGGGGGCAGCAGUGAGGAAUAUUGGUCAAUGGCCGGAAGGCUGAACCAGCCAAGCCGCGUGAAGGACGAAGGUGCCAAGCAUUGUAAACUUCUUUUGUAAAGGGACAAAAUCAGGCUCGAGAGCCUGACCGAGGGGACUUGAAGAAAAAGCAUCGGCUAACUCCGUGCCAGCAGCCGCGGUAAUACGGGGGAUGCGAGCGUUAUCCGGAUUAAUGGGGGUAAAAGGGUGCGUAGGGGGACUGUUAAGUCAGCGGUAAAAGUCCGGGGCUCAACCCCGGCGAGCCGUUGAAACUGGCUGUCUUGAGAGGUGGAGAGGUAUGCGGAAUGCGCAGUGUAGCGGUGAAAUGCUUAGAUAUUGCGCAGAACUCCGAUUGCGAAGGCAGCAUACCGGCGGCGAUCUGACGCUGAGGCACGAAAGCGUGGGUAUCGAACAGGAUUAGAUACCCCAGUAGUC
rnacentral:rRNA from 1 species